GGCUGGUCCGAAGGUGGUGAGUUAUCUCACUGGAUUGUUCAGUCGGUUACAGACUGAACUCCUUGUUCUACUACUUCCCCCUCUACUUGCUACUGCACUUGACUAGUCUUAA
rnacentral:Y_RNA from 1 species